GAUGAACGCUGGCGGCGUGCUUAACACAUGCAAGUCGAACGAAGCACUCUAUUUGAUUUCCUCAGGGACUGAUAACUUUUUGAAUGCGUGGCGGACGGGUGAGUAAAGCGUGGGUAACCUGUCCUGAAACGGGGGAUAACAGUCGGACACGGCUGUUAAUACCGCAUAAGCGCCCAGCAUCGCAUGAUGCAGUGUGUAAAACUAAGGUGGUAUAAGAUGGGCCCGCGUUGGAUUAGCUAGUUGGUGAGGUAACGGCCCACCAAGGCGACGAUCCAUAGCCGGCCUGAGAGGGUGACCGGCCACAUUGGGACUGAGACACGGCCCAGACUCCUACGGGAGGCAGCAGUGGGGAAUAUUGCACAAUGGGCGAAAGCCUGAUGCAGCGACGCCGCGUGAGCGAAGAAGUAUUUCGGGAUGUAAAGCUCUAUCAGCAGGGAAGAUAAUGACAGUACCUGACUAAUAAGCACCGGCUAAAUACGUG
rnacentral:rRNA from 1 species